AUCUAUCUCGCCCAUAACAGCAUCAUGCAGCCCUCGAGGACCGCUACGGUCACGCGAGCCCACCUCUCGCAGCUGCGACGUCUGCCAGGGUGUGCGGCAUCGCCGUCGACGGCAGCGUCGGUCGCUCCCGUGCUCCUCGCGUCGUCGUCGAUGAUGAUGAGCUCGUCUUUUCCACACAGAGGCCACGCUCUUGAUUUCGCGGAGGCGGGAGCAUCAGCGAUGGCAUCGCGAACGAGGGCGUGGCGUACUGCCGCCUUCGAGCUCCGAGGGCUUGGCAGCUUCAGGCUUUCGUCGCAGCCAAGAGGCCGGCGUUGCUACGCAACUAGUACCGCCACCGCAACGUCGGCCCAGGCGAGUACAGCAGCAGCGAGCGGGUCCGCAUCCACGCAGCCGCAAACGGCACGGCGUCGCCACGUGAUGGACCUCGGCAACAAUCUUUCGGUGGUGCUCCCUGCCUCUGGCCCCUCGCCCACGCCGUCUUCGCCGAGGCACCAUCGUGGCAGCCGCCGGCACCAUGGCCGCACAAAGAGCGGGGCCACCGGUCAUCACUCCCGCGGCGAGCAUCGGUACGUCUCCACCGAUGACGGCAGCACAGAGGCCAGCGCAGCGGACGGUGCCGUGCACGUGCAGUCGCGGGAAGCGUUGAGGCAGCCGCCUCGGCCUCGAAGGCACACGCGGCAAGCGACCCCGGCGUCGCUGCUGGUGGGGCAGCAGCGUGCUACCCAAGGAGAGCUGGAGGGCAAUGAAGACGGCCUUCUCCGCAUCCCUCGCACGGCGGCCGAGGCGGUCGCGCUGCUGGAGUGCGCGACGGUGCUGGAGGCGCUCGAGCUCUCUUCUUCGGCGCACUUGCCGCGGAGCACGGCGGCUCCGGCCUCGACGUCGACAGCGGCUGCACCGAGCGACGUGCGCGCCAACUUCGAAGAGCUGCAAACGCGGGCGCUGCCGCUUCUCUUCCACUUCGCGCGCGUUGCCGCCACGUCGUCGGCUCCGUUAGCCGGCGACGCAGCAGCGGCCGUCACCGACGCGAGGCUGGCAGCGGCGCUGCAGUGCCUGGCAGCCCAUCUGCAGUACAUGGCAGCGGCCACACGCACGGAUGGGCUGCGGCACGUAUCGGCGCUGCCGCCAGCGGUGGUCGUGGCGCUGUGGGAACAGGUGAUGCCGUACGUGCACCAACGCGUUGGCGAAGCGGAGGCACCACCACUACCGCCGUUACAAGGGAAUCUCGCGGAGCUGGAGGAGGAGGAGGACGGCGGCGUGCACAAGAGCGCGGGCGAAGCAGUGACUUCAGGGCCCGGCGACGGCGCGGGCGCAACGACUGAGCUGCGGAACGCCGCGGGCGCUCUCGCACUCUCGGCAACCGCGGCAGCGACUCGCCCCGCUUCCACGGCCUCAAUGAAGAACUCUGUGUACAUGCCGCUUCGCCGCGCCCUUGCCCUGCACACGCGGCAGAUCGCGUCCUUGCUGCCGCCGCCUGCCCUCGCGCUCGUGCUCACACGCAUAUACCAGUGCGGCGCGCUUUCCGAUGACGUUCUUGGCCCAAUCGCCGCCGACUACCUCGAGGCGCUGCGGAGGAGUGGGCCAGGUCAGACGGCAGGCGGCGGUGACGUGAUCGCGGCGCUGCGGCAGCGUGUCCUCCGGCUGCCGAGCGGCGACGGCCUGGGCGCGGCCCCACCGGCUGUCGCCUUUACCGGAGCCGCGGCCGUGACAAUGGCACGACUGCUGGGCCGCGCGGCGAUACCCGGUCAUCACCAACUCCACCGGUUCUUUCACCUUGCGUUGCUACCUGAGGUCACCCUAGCACUAGCGCGCGCGGCAGAGCGGGCCGCUCAGAACGUCGCUGACGAAGCCACGGGUGAGGCUGUCGAGGCGCUGCCUGGCGCGGCCGUGCUGCUGGACUUGACCGCGGCCCUACGCCACUACGCCGUCUCUGGGCACGCUGUCACGCACCUGACGACGCUCUGGAUGGCGUACUUUGCGCGUCGCCCGUGCGCGGACGACGCCGCGGCCGCCUUGGCGGACUGUACGGCGUUGCUGCGAGCUCUGUCAAGCGUGCCAUCCGCGUCCAACCGCACGCAGCGGCGGCAAGCGCGCAACAUCCGUGUCGAUGGCGGCCACGGUGGAUUGAACGCCCCGCAGCAGCGGAAGCAGCUGCUAAAGGUGACGGAUGAAGACUACUACCCAUUAAUGGACGUUGUGUGCGCGCGGGUGUGCCGCGUGUGCAACCAUCUGCAGAGUCCUGCCGCCACCAGCGACGUGGCGACGGUGGCCCCGACGCAGCUGCUGGCGCUGCUGUGUUUGUUGUUGCGUGUGAGCAGUCCGCACUGGGCCGAGACUUACGAGAUUCUCGCCAGCGCCGUUCUCGCCGCACUCGCCUCCACGGCAGCUUCCCGUGCCGCCUUAGCCCCGUCACAGCCGGGAGACGAAGAGCUGGAGGGCUUGCUUCCUCUGGCUGCGGCACGGCGCACGCUGCACGCGCUGCUGCACCGCAACUCGCUCAUCCCUGAUCAUCCGCUGCAUCGUGUACUGCUGCGGCGCCUUCUGCACUCGCCGGCUGCGAUGACGGACACCGCGGUGGCGUCGCAGGUGCUGUUGGGGCUGGAGCUGAUGGUCCCCGAAGAGGAGGGCAGCGCGCACACCGAUGGAGGCUCGAUGGCCACCGAGACGCCCGCGGCUGCGGAGGGCAGCAGCCGCAGCAAAAACGCUGUUGUGACCAUUGCCGCCAGUGCAUCUGCUAGGCCGACGGUGGCGCUUGUGGCAACCGCGACUGGCACGGCAGCCCAGACGUUCAUGUCCACGGUCGCCAUCACCCCUGAUGACCGCCACCGCGCCCUGCAGGUGUUUCGUCGGCUCGGCCGCUCCGUCACCCCCACCGCCUUUGUGGCGGGGCUGUGCGUCGUCGCGCUGGACACGCUCCCCCGCACCGCGCAGGUUGCCGUCGUGAAUCACCUCACGUCCGUCGCCUCCGCCGUGUCCCCGUCGUACUUGGUCAAGGGCAUGGACGCGGUGGUCCGUCAGCUGCCCUCGUCCGCCAUCGACGAUGUGUCGGUGCAGCAUUGGUUUUCGCGCUUCACUGCCCGGGACGUUGUGCGACGCGUCGACCCUGUCGGCUGUGCCGUGCUGCUGGACAUGCUGUCUGCGAACCCGCGGUACCAGCGCAACUGCGCGCUGGCGAAGGAGUGCAUUACACGCCGCGUUGGCGUGGCGCUGCGGCAGACGGGGGAGGACGGAGCCGGCAACGACGCGGCGAGCGCCGUGUCUCUCGAGGCGCUCCCGCGCAUUGUGGCGGCCCUGCAGCGCGCCAACGUCUUUCUGCCACAGUACUACUCGCGUGCGUGUCGGCUGUUGCUUGGUCAGGUGGAGCAGGCCCCUCUUGGUGAGAUGCUGGAGUCGUUCGCGGUCGUCGCUGAGGCGUACAUGAGCCGCCAGCGCAGCGAGGCGCAGGCGAGCGUCUUCAAGGAUGUGUGGGAGCUCUUGCGUGGUCGUGUAAUGGAAGAAGCAGGGCGGCUGGCGUUGCACGAGACGCUCAUGGCCAUCAACGGGUUUGCGGCGCUCGAUGUGACGGACCACGCGCUUUUCGGCGUCCUCGUCUACCGGCUUUGGCUGUGCCUGUGCACAGCGGAGGCGCAGGUGGCCGACGCAGCAGCGACGUCGAGGUCUUGUGGCGCGUCGAGUGCAGACCCAGCGGUCGCGGCACCCGGCGUACCGGCGAUGCGUCCGGUGCGCUCUGCGCAGCAGCCAAGCGAGAACGGCGAAGCUGCCGCCUCGGCAGCUGCCACGACUGACGACAAGGACGAGGCCGCGGAGGCGCAAGUGCACAGGCGUGUACAGGCUGCCCAGCACGUGCUGCGCACCCUGACGCCAAGCGCAGUGGCGGUCGUGACAGCCACGCUCCUCGCCAGAAGCGACGUCCGUGCAUCUUACGCGGCACAAGCGCGUGCGGCGGCGGCGGCGGUGGGCGGGGUAAGAAAAGGCGAAGACGGAGACGACAACGCUGUCCGCACCCUGCUCCCAUGGAUGCUUCUCGGUCUCCGGGACUGCCGCGCGGAGCUCUACCCGGUGGACGUGGUGCACUUGAUGCCAUCGCUCCUGGAGCACUACGCAGCCGCCGCCACAGUCGAAGAUGCGAGUGCCCCGACGGUCUGCGCGGACCGCAACGCAGCGCUGCUGCACAACGCCUACGAUGCCUGCCGGAGCACAUUCCUUCUCAUGUACACCCUCUUGCCGGACACCGUCGCCGCAGCAGAGGAGCCGCUGCUGCCCCUCGCGGAGCAGCAGCGCAUUUCGGCGCAACGCUCGCAGUGGACACCGGCGACGAAGCUGUCCGUCGAGGUGGUGCCUCGUCCGUGGUUCGCGACCUUACUUGUCAGUCUCAGCAGCGCAGCCCUCGUCGACGUGGCCGUGGCGCUCGCGUGCGUGCGGCGUGCGUGUACACGCCGCGUCUGCAGUGAUCUGCUGCCCAUCGCCCAGCUCGUUGACGUCUGCUUGAGCCUGUGCUGGCUGACCACCUCAACGGGUCUCCGCACAGCCACCAAGGGCGCCAGUGCCGCUGCACACAGGAGCGACGAUGAUGCGCAGGCUCCCGCCACGCCACCGGCGACGCGUCAGGGCGAGCCCUCCUCCCCGUCGCUGCCCGCACCUGGUGAUAUUCUCCGCACUGCCAUGGCCACGGUACUCUCCGCGCUGUGGAAGCGCAGCGACGAGCUCACACGCGCGCAGAUCGGCGCGCUACUUCGCUGCCUGCGCGACACGUACGGCGCCGACAAGGUCGACGCCGACUUCGUAGAGCGACUGGAGGCGCAGAGGGCGCUGCUACUCUCUCAGAGGCAGCAGAAGGGGCCGGCAGCCGCAGCGGCGGGCUCCGCCAGCGCGACCGAGGCGGCGAACGGCGGCAGUGACGGCGCUAGCGCCGCGUCCCCACCACAGCAGCAGAGACCGAAACCCCUCCCUCGGCUGGACCCAAAAGACCUCUUCAGCACAACGUAAUGUAUGCGCAGGCGCCGCCGCCCCACCAACGGUAUCGCAGCCGCGUGCGAGUCAACGCCUCCCCCCACCCCACCCCACACACACACACACACGCACACAAAAAAAAAACGCGUCUGUUGCACUCUGCCAUGCAGGAAAGGCUCUCCUCCCACCUAUGCAGCGGCAGUGGCCGGCAAACACCGCGACUGCGGUAACCGCGCCAGUCAGUUCACAGCUGAGGAGGGGCGAGGCCCCGAUAAAGGGUAAGCUAUGGUGAUGGCUGCUAUUGUGGUUGUGGUGUGUGGCUUCUCC
rnacentral:misc_RNA from 1 species